rnacentral:rRNA from 1 species
AGUGAACGCUGGCGGUAGGCCUAACACAUGCAAGUCGAACGGCAGCACAGUAAGAGCUUGCUCUUACGGGUGGCGAGUGGCGGACGGGUGAGGAAUACAUCGGAAUCUACUUUUUCGUGGGGGAUAACGUAGGGAAACUUACGCUAAUACCGCAUACGACCUACGGGUGAAAGCAGGGGAUCUUCGGACCUUGCGCGACUGAAUGAGCCGAUGUCGGAUUAGCUAGUUGGCGGGGUAAAGGCCCACCAAGGCGACGAUCCGUAGCUGGUCUGAGAGGAUGAUCAGCCACACUGGAACUGAGACACGGCCCAGACUCCUACGGGAGGCUGCAGUGGGGAAUAUUGGACAAUGGGCGCAAGCCUGAUCCAGCCAUACCGCGUGGGUGAAGAAGGCCUUCGGGUUGUAAAGCCCUGUUGUUGGGAAAGAAAAGCAGCAGGUUAAUACCCCGCUGUUCUGACGGUACCCAACGAAUAAGCGCCGGCUAACUUCGUG